AUUGAACGCUGGCGGCAGGCCUAACACAUGCAAGUCGAACGAGUGGCGGACGGGUGAGUAAUGUCUGGGAAACUGCCUGUAGGAGGGGGAAAACUACUGGAAACGGUAGCUAAAACCGCAUACCAUAAGAUGUGCCCAGAUGGUAUUAGCGAGUGGGUGGGGUAACGGCUAACCAAGGCGACGAUCCCUAGCGGGUCUGAGAGGAUGACCAGCCACACUGGAACUGAGACACGGUCCAGACUCCUACGGGAGGCGGCGUUGGGGAAUAUUGCACAAUGGGCGAAAGCCUUAUGCAGCCAUGCCGCGUGUAUGAAGAAGGCCUUCGGGUGUUAAAGUACUUUCAGCGGGGAGGCGUUACCCGCAGAAGAAGCACCGGCUAACUCCGUGCCAGCCGCCGCGGUAAUUC
rnacentral:rRNA from 1 species